rnacentral:rRNA from 1 species
UACGUAGGGUGCAAGCGUUAAUCGGAAUUACUGGGCGUAAAGCGUGCGCAGGCGGUUUUGUAAGUCUGACGUGAAAUCCCCGGGCUCAACCUGGGAAUUGCAUUGGAGACUGCAAGGCUAGAAUCUGGCAGAGGGGGGUAGAAUUCCACGUGUAGCAGUGAAAUGCGUAGAUAUGUGGAGGAACACCGAUGGCGAAGGCAGCCCCCUGGGCCAAUACUGACGCUCAUGCACGAAAGCGUGGGGAGCAAACAGG